UUUUUAUGAUGUUUUAGUCGGUUUAUAUAUAGUUCCCCUUUCUCUAAUGUGUUGUUCAUUGUUACAUCUGUUCUGUAAUCUGUGUGUUAUCUUGCUGGCUGCAAACAAACCUACUUAAGGGUACAAAUAAACGCACCUGAACCUGAACUGUAAUCACAUUAUAUUAAUAAUUAAAUCAUUCUUUUUUAUUUUCAUUCUUGUCUAGAACGAACAGCAAGUUUUGAAUUGAUCGGGCUGGUCAUAGCGAUACUCUGCUUGGUGAUUUCUCUGAUUGGAAAUGUUUCUCUCAUUUGCUUCCAAACUCCGAGAGAAGAAAGUGAACAAUCUAAAGCUGCUGUCGUCCUGCAAUUAAACAGCGAGAGGGUGAAAAAUCAACAGAUUGAUGAGGAGACUAAAGUUUACUCUGCUGUGGUCUUCACCAUGAGGAAAGCUGACCGUGGG